rnacentral:rRNA from 1 species
UACGAAGGGGGCUAGCGUUGCUCGGAAUCACUGGGCGUAAAGGGUGCGUAGGCGGGUUUUUAAGUCAGGGGUGAAAUCCUGGAGCUCAACUCCAGAACUGCCUUUGAUACUGAAGAUCUUGAGUCCGGGAGAGGUGAGUGGAACUGCGAGUGUAGAGGUGAAAUUCGUAGAUAUUCGCAAGAACACCAGUGGCGAAGGCGGCUCACUGGCCCGGUACUGACGCUGAGGCUCGAAAGUGAGGGGAUCAAACAGG